rnacentral:rRNA from 1 species
UACCCUUGACAUGGAUGGAAUCCUGAAGAGAUUUGGGAGUGCUCGAAAGAGAACCAUCACACAGGUGCUGCAUGGCUGUCGUCAGCUCGUGUCGUGAGAUGUUGGGUUAAGUCCCGCAACGAGCGCAACCCUUGUCAUUAGUUGCUACGAAAGGGCACUCUAAUGAGACUGCCGGUGACAAACCGGAGGAAGGUGGGGAUGACGUCAAGUCCUCAUGGCCCUUAUGGGUAGGGCUUCACACGUCAUACAAUGGUACAUACAGAGGGCCGCCAACCCGCGAGGGGGAGCUAAUCCCAGAAAGUGUAUCGUAGUCCGGAUUGGAGUCUGCAACUCGACUCCAUGAAGUUGGAAUCGCUAGUAAUCGCGGAUCAGCAUGUCGCGGUGAAUACGUUCCCGGGUCUU